rnacentral:sRNA from 1 species
GUUGGGCACGGUGGUGCAUGCCUGUAAUCCCAGUGACUCAGGAGACUGAGGCAGGAGGAUUUGGAGUUCAAAGUCAGCCUCAGAAACUUAGCAAGGCCCUAAGCAACUCAGCGAGAUCCUGUUUCUA